AACGAACGCUGGCGGCGUGGAUAAGACAUGCAAGUCGAACGGGACAGACCGAGUAGCAAUAUUUGGAAUGUUCAGUGGCGAACGGGUGCGUAACACGUGGAUAACAUCCGGAAAGCGGGGAAUAGCCCAGGGAAACUUGGAUUAAUACCGCAUGUGGCCGCAAGGCUAAAGACGGGGACCGCAAGGCCUGUCACUUUCCGAUUGGUCCGCGGCCUAUCAGCUAGUUGGCGGGGUAAUGGCCCACCAAGGCUACGACGGGUAGCUGGCCUUAGAGGAGGACCAGCCACACUGGAACUGAGACACGGUCCAGACACCUGCGGGUGGCAGCAGUCGAGAAUCUUUCACAAUGGGGGCAACCCUGAUGGAGCGACGCCGCGUGGAGUAUAAGGUCUUCGGAUUGUAAACUCCUGUCAUGCGAGAACAAGGUACUCAGGCUAAUAACCUGAUUGUUUGAUGGUACCGCAAGAGGAAGAGACGGCUAACUCUGUGCCAGCAGCCGCAGUAAAAC
rnacentral:rRNA from 1 species